rnacentral:rRNA from 1 species
GACGAACGCUGGCGGCGUGCCUAAUACAUGCAAGUAGAACGCAGUUGCGAACGGGUAAGUAACGCGUAGGUAACUGCCUCCUAGCGGGGGAUAACUAUUCGAAACGAUAGCUCCUACCGCAUCCUGUGAGAUGGACCUGCGUUGUAUUAGCUAGUUGGUGAGGUAAAGGGUCACCAAGGCGAGGAUCCGUAACUGGUCUGAGAGAGUGAUCAGGCACUGUGGAACUGAGACCAGGUCCUGACUGCUUGGGGGGGCAGCCGUAGGGAAGUUUCGGCAAGGGACGGAAGUCUGAGUGAGCAACGGCGCGUGAGUGAAGAAGGUUUUCUGAUCGUAAAGCGAUGUUGUUAGAGAAGCGGUAACUAACCAGAAAGGGACGGCUAAAUACGUGCCAGCAGCCGCGGUAAUUC